AUACGGAAGGUCCGGGCGUUAUCCGGAUUUAUUGGGUUUAAAGGGAGCGCAGGCGGAGAUGCAAGCGUGACGUCAAAUUUCGGGGCUCAACCCCGUCUCGCGUCGCGAACUGCGUCCCUUGGUUGCGGGAAGGGGAGGCGGAACUCGUGGUGUAGCGGUGCAGUGCAUAGAUAUCACGAAGAACUCCGAUCGCGAAGGCAGCCUUCCGGCCCGUCAACGACGCUCAUGCUCGAAGGUGCGGGUAUCAAACAGGAUUAGGUACCCUGGUAGUCCGCACAGUAAACGAUGGACACCCGCGGUUUGGCCUGUAUGGCUGAGCCGCCAAGCGAAAGCGUUAAGUGUCCCACCUGGGGAGUACGCCGGCAACGGUGAAACUCAAAUGAAUUGGCGGGG
rnacentral:rRNA from 1 species